UAAUGUUCCUAAUUAGUUGGCAACUCAGUUUUAAACGCAUCAGAUGUUUAAAGCGUGCAUCAAUUUUAUUUGGUAUGCAGAACAGACAAUGGCAGAAGAAAAAAGUGGACACACGAGUGGAAGAAAUUAUUAAUAACAACAAGGCUUCGCCAUGAAGCAGAAUUUUCCGGCAAAAAAA